rnacentral:lncRNA from 1 species
UUGAUCCUUUCUCUUUUAUUUUUGUCGAUUGAGAUUACUAGCAAGUUUCUUUCAUACUAGUAUUUGUGUUUUAUCGUGGUUUAUUUGUAGGACAAAGAAGACGAAGUACCGAACAAAGAAAUUGAUGUAUGUCCAGAGCAAUGUUUGUUCAACCUUCUGCGGAGCAAACUAACGAUUCAGUUCGAAUCAACCCCUCUGGCUUCUGCCUCAAAGACCAUAAUUAAAUUCCUCCUACUAAUUUUGCAGCUGAGAUAUUCCAUCAAAAUAGUUUGUAGAGCAUUAAUUAAAUUUUAAACGAGUACA